rnacentral:lncRNA from 1 species
GGACUAGCCGCUCAGCACCAGGGCGGAAGGAAGACGAGGCGAGGCAAGCGCCAAGCUUCCAUCCGGACUUCAAGGCCAGUGGCUGGGUCUGGUUUUCUCAACACGGCCUCCUAGUCUCCUUCCCGCUUGGGCAUCUGUUUUUCUUAUAUAGACCCUGAAGCCGCCCGUGAUGUUCUGUAAGCAGGUUCCGCUUCAGAAUCAGAGGUACUUAAGAGGGAACCUGGAUGCUAGACCUGCCCUUGCUGCUGGCCUCAGUUUCUUUACCUGUAAAACAGGGAUUUUGGAACUGUUAAAUUAAAUCAAACUUAAAAGAAUUACAACUUAAAGCUGCUGGAACUUUACAUGAUCCCGAGCCUUGAGAGGAAUGUGGCUAUGCAGCCUGAGUCAUGUGGCAUGCAGAUGCAACCUCUGCCUUUUUCCGCUGUAAAUAAUUAAGAAGACCAAGUAGCAUCCAAGUAGAGACGGGGUUUCACCAUGUUAGCCAGGAUGGUCUCGAUCUCCUGACCUCGUGAUCCACCCACCUUGGCCUCCCAAAGUUCUGGAUUACAGGUGUGAACCACCGCGCCCGGCCGCCUGUUGUCAUUAAUACUGCCCCGUUCACUCUCCAAAGUGUCACAGUUUGAGCGAUAAAUUAUUUGAUCUCC